CUCAUUUCACUCAGCAUCAGUUCGUGUAAGUCUCUCCAGGCCUUUCUGAAAUCAUCCUGUUGGUCAUUUCUUACAGAACAGUAAUAUUCCAUAAUAUUCAUAUACCACAAUUAUUCAGCCAUUCUCCAACUGAUGGACAUCCAUUCAGUUUCCAGUUUUUAGCCACUACAAAAAGGGCUGCCACAAACAUUCGUGCACAUACAGGUCCCUUUCCCUUCUUUAUAAUCUCUUUGGGAUAUAAUCCCAGUAGUAACGCUGCUGGAUCAAAGGGUAUGCACAGUUUGAUAACUUUUUGAGCAUAGUUCCAAACUACUCUCCAAAAUGGUUGGAUUCGUUCACAACUCCACCAACAAUGCAUCAAUGUGUCCCAGUUUUCCCGCAUCCCCUCCAACAAUCAUCAUUAUUUUUUCCUGUCAUCUUAGCCAAUCUGACAGGUGUGUAGUCUUCCUGGUUUUUAAUGGCCAAUCCUUUUUGAUACAGAUAUCCUUUCUGCUAUCACAGGGUCCAAGAGAUUAACAAGAAGAUUACUUUGUCAUCCCAAAGCACAAAUCCUUUAAUGUGAUAGAGCCACAAACAUCUUCUGAAGUGGCCAGAAGACCCCAUCUCCACUCCAAGCAUUUAGUUAAAGCAGUUGAUGAGCUCCUAUUACUCUAUCAAUACCCACUUUCUCUACUUCUACUUUUAUCAAAACCACAAUCUCUAUUCAUGUGGAACUCACUACUUUCAUCUUUGAAUGGCUUUGGUUGCUAAGAAAUUCUUCCUUAUCUAGAACAAAUUCAAUUUUUCUCUCCACCUACUAAUUCAGUUCUGCCCUCUGGAGGCAAGCAGAAUAAAGAUAACCCCUCUUCCACAUAACUUUCUAUAUUCAAAAUAAUAAUACUCGUUCAUUUAUAUAUAAGGUACUUUACAAUUUACAAAGCACUGUCCUCCCAAUAACCCACAGAAUAGGUAGUGCAAAACCUUCCAUUUUACAGAUGAAGAAACUGAGGCUCAAAGAUUUUCCCAUAGACUCAAAACUAGUAAGUAUAUAUCUAAAUUCAAUGCUAUGCAGCUACACCCAAAGAAAGAACACUAGGAAUGAAUGUAAACUGCUUGCAUUUUUGUUCUUCUUCCCAGGUUAUUUAUACCUUCUAAAUCCAAUUCUCCCUGAGCAACAAGAAAACUGUUUGGUUCUGCAGACAUAUAUUGUAUCCAAGAUCUACUGUAAUCUAUUUAACAUGUAUAGGACUGCUUGCCAUCUUUGGGG
rnacentral:lncRNA from 1 species